CCCUUAGAUGUCCGGGGCUGCACGCGCGCUACACUGUAGAAAGCAGCGUGCUUUAAAACCUUUCCUGAAAAGGAUGGGUAACCCCAGCAAAAUUCUACGUGCUUGGGAUAGAGAUUUGCAAUUUUCUCUCUUGAACGAGGAAUUCCCAGUAAGUGCGAGUCAUCAGCUCGCGUUGAUUACGUCCCUGCCCUUUGUACACACCGCCCGUCGCUACUACCGAUUGGGAAAAUUUUAGAGAGUCCUGGACUGAUGAUUGCUCGGCUUCACGGCCUUACUUUCGUCGGGAAAGAAUUCGAUAAUAGUUUUCUAGAGGAAGUAAAAGUCGUAACA
rnacentral:rRNA from 1 species